UAUGUCACAAAAUUUAAACUGUAACAAUAACCUGCUUAUAGCCAAGGCAAUGCAAUACUCCAAAAGUCAACCAAAUGAACUCUGAACAAAUGUGGUCUUCUCAGUAAUUGAAGGGACAUAAAGAAGCAGUGAAAAUCUUAGUAAUAUUAUGAUUGUUUUGGCUACUAAACCUUCUAAAAUGGAACAACUUCCUGGCACUGUGGAGGAACAAAGAAUAUGUAAACUGUAACAGCAGUGAAAUUUUACAAAAGGAGUCUGAAGAAAAUAAAAACAGAGCUAUAGCACAUAGCAAGGACAUCGUAAUCUACAGAGAAGUAAGGCUGGCCAUCCCUUAUAAUGGCUAAAGACUUGCUUUGCUUACUGAUAAAUCCCCAGUGCCAAAAACAGUGCCUGGCACACAUACAGGUACUCAUUAAUAAAUGGGAAAUUAAUAAAAAAUUAAAAUACAUUUAAUCCACAGGUUUUGGUUGUGGAUUAUGAAUCAGACACUCUUAAGCUC